rnacentral:rRNA from 1 species
GCUGGAAUCGCUAGUAAUCGUAGAUCAGCAUGCUACGGUGAAUACGUUCCCGGGUCUUGUACACACCGCCCGUCACACCACGAGAGUUUGUAACACCCGAAGCCGGUGGAGUAACCUUUUAGGAGCUAGCCGUCGAAGGUGGGACAAAUGAUUGGGGUGAAGUCGUAACAAGGUAGCCGUAUCGGAAGGUGCGGCUGGAUCACCUCCUUU